GUGAGGGGUGCGGUUAUUUUUUCUCAUCUUAGUUUGCUAUUUUGGCGCGAUUUUGACAAUUUCUGGCGCAUUCCACUUAUUUACUUUAGCGGCCAUAGGGCAAUGGUUUACUAACGGGAAAUGUGAUGAAUUGCAGCAGCAAUUCUUGGAAUAUAAAGAAGAAGUGAAGCAAUUAUGAUGCCUAUUAUUUUUUUAUAAUGACAGAAGGAACGUGGAAGAAAAACAUUCAUUUUUUGCAGCAUGUGAAAACAAGGAAAUAGAAUGAAAGAAGGGCUGCUAUGAGUGCUACUUUUCAUGCGCCUGAAACCAGCCACCUCAUCAUCAUAGCAUGUUGCAUUGGAGCUCUGCUGGAGUUUGCUGAUGACAGGAUGCUGAAGGGCUGAAGCUGGUAGCUCUGGCAGGAGUCCAGUGUCCACCAGCUCAAGAUCCGACGCCGCCGUGCGGCACUCCGCGGAGACGGGGACGGCGGUCAUGAUUGAAGCCACCGCAUUUCCCGCCUGGAUUGUCCGGUCGGAGACUGGUAAUCCCUCCGGUGAGCCGCACACCGUGGAGCUACUGCACCGCGCGUGUCCACCCGCAGCGCAGUGCCAGCAACGGUGCCGUGAGUGCGACAUCUGCGUGCAUAUGACGCAGUGCGACUGUCCCGACUCGCGGCUCAGUGUUAACUGUCAGUGUGACAGUGCGGCUCGCGCUCGUUUUAGCGAGGUGCUCUGUUGUAUAUAACCACCUUGAUGAAGACCUAUAUGCUGCCGCUUGAGUUUCAAUGUACAGUUUUAUGCAUCAAACUAGCGUAAGUAAAUGGCUGUCAGAGGUCAAUUUGAAGCGCAAUUAGUACCCAUAACCCAGCUGGGUUGAGCGAGUCAUGUGAUUAGUCCCGAUGAACGUACUGUUUCGAUGUCGUCAGUCGUAGACUUUUGU